rnacentral:tRNA from 1 species
GCCUCGAUAGCUCAGCUUGGCUAGAGCAGUUCCCUUGUAAGGAACAGGUCCAGGGUUCAAAUCCCUGUCGGGGCU